GGGGAGGUGCCAGAGUGGCCAAAUGGGGCGGGCUGUAAACCCGUUGGCGCUGCCUACGAUGGUUCGAAUCCAUCCCUCCCCACCA
rnacentral:tRNA from 1 species